rnacentral:pre_miRNA from 1 species
GUGGGUACAAAAAAUCUACUUUAUUCAGCACGCUAACCUAAUUUCUAAGACAUGUUACAUACCUGAAACAUGUCUUAGAAAUUAGGGUUUUCUUGGUUUGUGUGUUGAACAAAGUAGAUUCUUUGUACCCG